UUAUUAUGAAUGAAACACGAUGGUCACUUUCAUUUCAGACGGAAACCGUCUAAAAUUGAACUAAAAUGCUACAAUUGUGAAGAUUUCAGUAAUUUAGCAUGACUUAAUGAUGCUAGUACCCGAUAUAUGUGCAUUGUGUUGUCAUAAACAGCCCAUAUUUAUGAAGCAGAGGCAUUCUACUUUGCAAUAAAUAUCUAAACGAUUACAUUUUCACAAUUUUCUAAAACUGCUAUAUUUUGAGGCCAAAAAGGGGUCUUACUGAACCUACUCCUUUUGAAUGAAAAAUAAGUGAUUUCUAUAUAACAUAAGGUCGCUAUGGCAUAUGGAAUUUGUCCUCAAUUUUUCAUUUUAAAGAAGUGAGAUUCAUGAUUGAUCGUCAAUUAGGUGUCAGUAUUUAGAUAUAUUUUCUCAGGCUAGAUAGAUCAGAAAUGGGCAUUGAUUCCUUUUCAUGGAAAAAAUGAGUAAAUUUAAAGUCAUUUUUGGAAAAAUCUGAAUUUCACUUAAAAAAAACUAGUAUUUUAAUCCAUUCUGAUAAAUUUGGUUAAUUUCUAGGAUGAUCUGAAAUCCUGCAUUGAAUAACAUAAAGAUACAUAAAAAUUCCACAAUAGCUAAGAUUGGUUAAUUGUGUUAAAGUCAGUAGACCACGACAAUGAGAAAUAAGUUUAAAUUAUAUAUGAAGUGCUAAUUAACUAAACAUACAUACAUGUAGUGCUAUAUGAAUUUGACAAUUUGUAAAUUUAGCUAUAAAUCCCUAAGACAAAGACAAUGAAUGUUGUUCACAAUUCUCACUGUGAUGUAUUAUUUUGGGGUAGUCUGAUUAUUAUUUUCAGUAAUGUUUACUGUACAUUAUUGUUAAGAAAUUAUGCAUAAUACUUUUGUAGCUAGUCCAUUUUAAUUGGGCAUAGUUUUUCUAGUUAACAACAUAAAAAAAAUAUUUUAAAAUAAUUAAGAAAAAGACUAAUAGAAUAUUUUGAUAGAAAAGCAUUGAAAACACAUGUGAUAUGUUGUAUUUUUCUUAUGAAAUUUGGUGAGAAAAUGUAAGAUAAAAUCCACAUAUUAUGGACAUGAUAUAAAAAGUAAACUAGUAUUAAGUCUGAUGAAUAAAUACAAAAAUUUGUAGGCCAUUUAUUUAUUGGGUUUGGUAAAUCAUAAUUAAAUUACUGAACAAAAUUUGAUAGGCAGCUUCAUUACUUCAAUGUAUUUAGUAAUUGUAACAAAAAUACAUUUGUCUGUCUUUUACUAGGUCAUUAUGAAAGUAAACAUUUAGUUCUAACAGUAUCUGUUUUAAAAACAGUGUUAAGUUAUUUAUUAGUUAUGGAAUUAGAUGUUGAUAUUUGACAAAAAUAAUGUUUGAUUGUGAAUUGUAAGAAUUUUGAGAAUCAUGAGAACAAACAUUUUGAGAUCAUCUUUGUUUUUCUGUUUUAUAUUACUAUAUAACAAGUAAUCAUUCAAAUCAUGAAAUGUAAAAUUUUUAUAAUUAAGAAACAAUGAAUUAUGAGGAAAAUGCAUAAACAUUAAUAGACAUCAUAAACGCUUCAAAAGAGUUUUAUAUUCUACAACAGAUUUAAUAUUCAGGUUAAGUAAGCAAUUACAUAUUUUGUAAUAUAAUAUUAUAAAGGUG
rnacentral:lncRNA from 1 species